rnacentral:rRNA from 2 species
AGUCGAGCGAUGGAUUGAUAGCUUGCUCUCAAGAAGUUAGCGGCGGACGGGUGAGUAACACGUGGGUAACCUGCCCAUAAGACUGGGAUAACUCCGGGAAACCGGGGCUAAUACCGGAUAACAUUUUGAACUGCAUGGUUCGAAAUUGAAAGGCGGCUUCGGCUGUCACUUAUGGAUGGACCCGCGUCGCAUUAGCUAGUUGGUGAGGUAACGGCUCACCAAGGCAACGAUGCGUAGCCGACCUGAGAGGGUGAUCGGCCACACUGGGACUGAGACACGGCCCAGACUCCUACGGGAGGCAGCAGUAGGGAAUCUUCCGCAAUGGACGAAAGUCUGACGGAGCAACGCCGCGUGAGUGAUGAAGGCUUUCGGGUCGUAAAACUCUGUUGUUAGGGAAGAACAAGUGCUAGUUGAAUAAGCUGGCACCUUGACGGUACCUAACCAGAAAGCCACGGCUAACUACGUGCCAGCAGCCGCGGUAAUACGUAGGUGGCAAGCGUUAUCCGGAAUUAUUGGGCGUAAAGCGCGCGCAGGUGGUUUCUUAAGUCUGAUGUGAAAGCCCACGGCUCAACCGUGGAGGGUCAUUGGAAACUGGGAGACUUGAGUGCAGAAAAGGAAAGUGAAAUUCCAUGUGUAGCGGAGAAAUGCGUAGAGAUAUGGAGGAACACCAGUGGCGAAGGCGACUUUCUGGUCUGUAACUGACACUGAGGCGCGAAAGCGUGGGGAGCAAACAGGAUUAAAUACCCUGGUACUCCGCGACGCCAAACCAUGAGUGCAUAAGUGGUAAAGGGUUACCGCGCUUU